UUGAGCUGAAAGGGUGAGUAUACUAUUCAUAGUAGGAAAAAAUGUCUUUUACAUAAUGGACAGACUCAAAUACAAUCGAAUUACAGACAAUUUUACAAGAGAUUGUGGAGCUUAGAUCUUCCUCCAAAAAUUAAAAUUACAAACUGGAGGUUUUCUUGUAACUAUUUGCCUACUUUUGGUAAUCUUUAUUUUCGAAGAAUGUUGGGAUUAGCAACUUAUCGAAGAUGUCAAAAUAAAGCGGAAACAAUGGAGCAUUUGUUCAGGGAGUGCCCUACAGCAAAGGAGACAUGGGAGAUAUUAGAUGUUACCUGGCCUAUUUCAGAGGAAAAUACAGAUUUUAGAGAAUGGGUAAAAAACAUCUUUGAAUCACAUUAUUUGGCUAAGUGUAGGUUGAUAGCAUGUGCAUUAUUGGCGAUAUGGACAUCAAGAAACAGAUUCAUUCAUGAAGGAGAAAUAAAACCAGGCUCUCAAAUUACAGAUUACGUAAUAAACUAUCUUUAAGAACUUCAUAGAUUGAAUACGAACUUACCAGUGAGACAGAUUCAUACAGGUAGAUAGGUCGCUCCGAAUGGACCGAAGGUAAAAAUCAAUUUUAAUACUGCAUUCAACAAGCACAGAAAAGAGUCAUGCUCCGGGCUGGUGGUAAGAAAUGAAAGAGCAGAAGUGACUUGUUCCAAAACUGUUAUGCAUGUGAAUAUACCACCUGUUUUUGCAGCAGAAGCAAUGGCGUGUUUUCAGGCGCUUAAUCUUAGGUCAUAUAUUGAGCUAAGGAAGGUUGAAAUUGAAGGGGACUCUCGCUCGGUUAUCUAUAAACUGCAAGAGGAGAAAGAAGAUAGAUCUGGGAAGCUUUUAUAAAAGAUUCAAAGCAUCUGAGUUUAGGUUUUGAAUUCUGCGUUUUUCAUUUUAUCAAUCGAGAAUCUAAUAAGGUUGCUUAUCUUAUAGCUACUAAGGGACCCAAAAAGAGAGACAACUUAUUUGGUGAAAAUGGUUACUUCUGGUAUAGAGGAAGCGGUGGUCGCUGAUCGAAGCUGAACGAAAUCCUUGAAAGAGUGAAAGGUUUGGAACGUUGAAGGAAAGUCUAGAAAGGAGAUUAAAGGGUUAGAGGAUAUGGUGUUUUUCAAAGUUUUUAUUGUGGGUAUUGAUUGCUACUGAUAAAAUUAAUAGAGAGUAAUGAUCAAGUUAUGC
rnacentral:lncRNA from 1 species